GUAGGUACCAAGUUUACCAUUUUCUUACGGUCGGCGGGAUUAUAUUAUAAUAUUUUUGUGUGAUGUUGAUGAUUGCAGAAUUCUUAUUCCGCUGAAGGAUUUAAAAAGAAAUAACUAUUUCCUUGGGUAGGUGCUUGUUCUGUCUCGUCCUAGGCAUAGGUAUCUAAUAAAGAAACGGACGGGCCAUCCCGUCGUAGCUGUGUAACGGAAGAAAACGCUAGAGAUCACAGUCGUUUGUAGAGUUGCCGGGUAUUUGAUAAUUAUAAACGAUAAUAAUUUCAUUAGACCGUUAACGAUUGCGAUUUUUGAACACCGUGAUUCGGUAACCAGUACGCAUACCAUAUUGGUAACUAUAUAUAUAUUUAUGGUCCUUUUCGAUCACAUACGGGAAAAAUAGCAUCACGGCCCACCCGUGUCUUAACGAUUAUUAUCUAUAGGUAUGAUUCCGGGACCGUUUUCACGGCACCGUUGCUGUUGCUGCUACAUAGAACGCUCGUGCCGUUUUAUGUAUUGUAGGUCAAUGUAUAUAGAAAUGUAUGUAAAAUAGCUUUUUUUCUUCCACUUUGUAAAAC